rnacentral:rRNA from 1 species
CGUAACAAGGUUUCCGUAGGUGAACCUGCGGAAGGAUCAUUAUUGAAUAAAUCUGGUUGGGUUGUUGCUGGCUCUUAGGAGCAUGUGCACACUCACUCCAUUUCCUUAACAACCCUGUGCACACUGUGUAGUCCUAGAAGCUGUCGAGGAGACUCGGUCUGAGAACUGCUGUGGAAACCAGCUGUUCUUUUAUUUUAGGACUAUGUUUAAUAUACUCCAUAAAAUAUGUUAGAACUGUAAUAUCAAGGGCUUUCCAUGCCUUUUAAAACAAAUACAACUUUCAACAACGGAUCUCUUGGCUCUCGCAUCGAUGAAGAACGCAGCGAAAUGCGAUAAGUAAUGUGAAUUGCAGAAUUCAGUGAAUCAUCGAAUCUUUGAACGCACCUUGCACUCCUUGGUAUUCCGAGGAGUAUGCCUGUUUGAGUGUCAUGAAAUUCUCAACCUCUCUAGUUUAGUUUUUUAUAUUAAGCUGGGUCAGGCUUGGAUUAUGGAAGUUGCUGGCUACUUUUAUGAAAUCAGCUCUUCUUAAAUGCAUUAGCGAAGGUCCCUGCUGAUUGCCUUUGGUAUGAUAAUUAUCUAUACCAUCAAUUGGAAGGAUUUUGCUUAUAAUAGUAGUCUGUUGUGGACGUUACUUUGACAAACUUGACCUCAAAU